rnacentral:sRNA from 1 species
ACACGUCCAUACGUCCGGUUGGUACCGCGAUGCGCU